GGAGUUAUAGCUCAGUGGUAAAGCGCUUGCCUUGCACGCAGGAGGUCCUGGGUUCGGUCCCCAGCACCA
rnacentral:tRNA from 1 species